UUUAUGUAAAAUAAACUAAUUGAUUUCUAUCAUUUAUUUGGUGUCUAAAGUUACCCAGUAGAACCAAUGAAAGGAAGAACUAUCCCCGGGAUUAUUUUUCAAUAAACCAAUGCGUGAUCACAAACUCAUCUGAUGUUGACCGAUGAUAUGGUUGAAAUUUGGUACGCGCUAGUCUAAGAGUAGAGCCAAAAAAUGCCUAUUGACUUUACACUUGAAACACAGACGCUGACAACAUGUUCUUUUGCUAUACAUGAAUUUGAAUAACAAAUAAUAAUUUACAUAUGUUUUACAGCCUGCAACAAAAGUUGGCUGUAUGUGCGUCACAAGAGGACCAUUGCCGAGAUUCAAGUUAAUUGGAAAUAUUCACUUUCCCAAAAUAAAGGUAACACCCGGUACCUACGUGUCCCUGCCAACUGAACCAAUGUCUACAGUGUGCCCGCCCUGUGUUUGCCCUUCUUGUAUCAAGAGUUCCGAUAUCGGGGGAUACCCAACUUACUGAAAUACAAGUUAAUUUAUUAAGAUUCAAUAAUUUACUUAAGUAUUUUAUAAUAGCGA